rnacentral:lncRNA from 1 species
UGGCUCCACACACAGACGCACACACACACACACACACAAACACGCUGUCUCUAUACAGCAUGGAGGAGAUGUGCAAGCUGGAUUAGUGAUGGAUGCAGUCUGUACUGUGAGACCGGAGGAGGAAGUAAGUUUGUUCAGAUGGACGUGGAGACUAACAGAGGGCAAUAGGAGUGGGAGCCGGAGUGAGGAUUCUCAGACAGAGGCGCUGAAUGGGCUGCAGGUCUGUGCGCUUUUAACACCAGCUAAAGAGGAAUGUUUGGCUAUAUUGUUAUGCAGCUAUGAAGAAUGUAUCAAGCCAGUAGUUCACAGAGCAGAAGCAGAGGCUAUCAUCAGGCCAGUGAUGUGAUCUUCCUUCAGGCGUAUGGUUUGGGACAAAAAAACUGCCGUUUCAUCGCAGAGGCAGUUUGCAAUGUUUGAAGGUCUUCUACCAAUGCGUCCAACUUGUCUUCAUCCUCCAAGAGGAUUUUUUAUGAGAAGAGAUCACAAGCUGAUGAGAAUUUGACAUUACAGUAAAAAAACA